rnacentral:misc_RNA from 1 species
GAUGAAGAACGCAGCGAAAUGCGAUACUUGGUGUGAAUUGCAGAAUCCCGUGAACCAUCGAGUCUUUGAACGCAAGUUGCGCCUCAAGCCAUUAGGUUGAGGGCACGUCUGCCUGGGCGUCACAUAUCGUUGCCUGAUGCCAGUUUCCUCGUGAUGGGUGACUGUGCAGGGCGAAUGAUGGCUUCCCGUGAGCAUUGUUGCCUCAUGGUUGGUUGAAAAUUGAGUCCGUGGUAGGGAGCGCCGUGAUAGAUGGUGGUUGAGUGACGAACGAGAACCAAUCAUGUGAGACCCCUACCGAAUUUGGCCUUCAUGACCCACAUGCGUCUUUGGAACGCUCAUGACGAGACCUCAGGUCAGGCGGGGCUACCCGCUGAGUUUAAGCAUAUCAAUAAGCGGAGGA